rnacentral:rRNA from 1 species
GACGAACGCUGGCGGCGUGCCUAACACAUGCAAGUCGAACGGAGCAAUUACUUCGGUUUUUGCUUAGUGGCGAACGGGUGAGUAACGCGUGAGAGACCUGCCUUUCAGUGGGGGACAACAGUUGGAAACGACUGCUAAUACCGCAUAAUGUUAUUUGAGGGCAUCCUCGAAUAACCAAAGCUUUAUGUGCUGAAAGAUGGUCUCGCGUCUGAUUAGCUAGUUGGUGAGGUAACGGCUCACCAAGGCGACGAUCAGUAGCCGGUCUGAGAGGAUGGACGGCCACAUUGGGACUGAGAGACGGCCCAGACUCCUACGGGAGGCAGCAGUGGGGAAUUUUGGACAAUGGGCGAAAGCCUGAUCCAGCCAUGCCGCGUGCAGGAUGAAGGCCUUCGGGUUGUAAACUGCUUUUGUACGGAACGAAAAGACUCUGGUUAAUACCUGGGGUCCAUGACGGUACCGUAAGAAUAAGCACCGGCUAACUACGUGCCAGCCGCCGCAGUAAGAC